rnacentral:rRNA from 1 species
GAUGAACGCUGGCGGCGUGCCUAAUACAUGCAAGUAGAACGCUGAAGGAGGAGCUUGCUUCUCUGGAUGAGUUGCGAACGGGUGAGUAACGCGUAGGUAACCUGCCUGGUAGCGGGGGAUAACUAUUGGAAACGAUAGCUAAUACCGCAUAAGAGCAGUUGUUGCAUGACAGCUGUUUAAAAGGUGCAAUUGCAUCACUACCAGAUGGACCUGCGUUGUAUUAGCUAGUUGGUGAGGUAACGGCUCACCAAGGCGACGAUACAUAGCCGACCUGAGAGGGUGAUCGGCCACACUGGGACUGAGACACGGCCCAGACUCCUACGGGAGGCAGCAGUAGGGAAUCUUCGGCAAUGGGGGCAACCCUGACCGAGCAACGCCGCGUGAGUGAAGAAGGUUUUCGGAUCGUAAAGCUCUGUUGUAAGAGAAGAACGAGUGUGAGAGUGGAAAGUUCACGCUGUGACGGUAUCUUACCAGAAAGGGACGGCUAACUACGUGCCAGCAGCCGCGGUAAUA